ACCCGCUGAACUUAAGCAUAUCAAUAAGCGGAGGAAAAGAAACCAACAGGGAUUGCCUUAGUAACGGCGAGUGAAGCGGCAACAGCUCAAAUUUGAAAUCUGGCCUCUUUGGGGUCCGAGUUGUAAUUUGCAGAGGGCGCUUUGGCGUUGGCAGCGGUCCAAGUUCCUUGGAACAGGACGUCACAGAGGGUGAGAAUCCCGUACGUGGUCGCUAGCCUUCGCCGUGUAAAGCCCCUUCGACGAGUCGAGUUGUUUGGGAAUGCAGCUCUAAAUGGGAGGUAAAUUUCUUCUAAAGCUAAAUACUGGCCAGAGACCGAUAGCGCACAAGUAGAGUGAUCGAAAGAUGAAAAGCACUUUGGAAAGAGAGUCAAAUAGCACGUGAAAUUGUUGAAAGGGAAGCGCUUGCAGCCAGACUUGCCUGUAGUUGCUUAUCCGGACUUUUGUCCGGUGCACUCUUCUGCGGGCAGGCCAGCAUCAGUUUAGGCGGUUGGAUAAAGGUCUCUGUCAUGUACCUCUCUUCGGGGAGGCCUUAUAGGGGAGACGACAUGCAACCAGCCUGGACUGAGGUCCGCGCAUCUGCUAGGAUGCUGGCGUAAUGGCUGU
rnacentral:rRNA from 1 species